rnacentral:rRNA from 1 species
CCUACGUGAGGCAGCAGUGAGGAAUAUUGGUCAAUGGGCGUAAGCCUGAACCAGCCAAGUCGCGUGAGGGAUGAAGGUUCUAUGGAUCGUAAACCUCUUUUAUAAGGGAAUAAAGUGUGGGACGUGUCCUAUUUUGUAUGUACCUUAUGAAUAAGGAUCGGCUAACUCCGUACCAGCAGCCGCGGUAAUACGGAGGAUCCGAGCGUUAUCCGGAUGUAUUGGGUUUAAGGGGUGCGUAGGCGGCCUUGUAAGUCAGCGGUGAAAGUGCGUGGGUCAACCAUAGAAUUGCCGUUGAAACUGGGGGGCUUGAGUAUGUUUGAGGCAGGCGGAAUGCGUGGUGUAGCGGUGAAAUGCUUAGAUAUCACGCAGAACCCCGAUUGCGAAGGCAGCCUGCCAAGCCAUGACUGACGCUGAUGCACGAAAGCGUGGGGAGCAAACAGGAUUAGAUACCCCAGUAGUC